CAGAAAUAUAAAGAUCACUUUUUAAAAUGUGUGUACAAAAAAAUAAAAAAUAAAAAAAAAAACAUUUUUUAAUAACGCCGCCCUAUUUUUCCGUGAGCUAGGGGCAGGCGCUGCAGGGCAAACAAAUCUUUUUUUGGCCUAAUAUGCAGCAAGUUAUUUCAAGCGGUUAUAUGGAAUUAUAGGAGAUAAAUUCAUUCUGGAUUCAGUAAAUUAUUUGUGAAUUUUCUUUCCUUUAGUUAAUCCAGUGUCCUUACCAGAACAGCUAGGAACUCUGCAUCCCAAGUCACUCACGACUCCGCAAUUACCGACCACAUGAUUUGUAGGAACCAUCUCCAUGAUUGGAAUGCAAAGAUACUGGCAGAAGAACCACACUGGCAGGAUAGAAAAAUAAGAGAAGCUCUCAAGAUAAGGCAAAACAAGAAUACCAUGAACAGGGAUGAUGGGUACGAAGUCCCGCAUUUAUACGAUGAAAUUCUGAAAGGCACGGCCCCCCCCCAGCACCCUCGCUUGGGUAAACCUAAGUGAAAAAUAGGUGUCGCUAUUAACCGAAACGUCAUCGGAAGGUCCGAGCUGUCAUCGCUUCACUUUUGACGAUGCCUCUUGCCAAGAGGCGAAACAUGUCAAGUCUAAUAUGAAAAAAAGUUGAGUGAUCUUCAAGCCAUGAAUACACCACCACCCACAUUGCAACAGGAAAACACUUGCUGAGCAAGGGAAAUCAAGACUGAUUCAUUUGAAUUAGUAAACAGUACUGUACCUGUAAUGGUAGUUGAAGCUUUAGCGAAGUCAGAUUUUUAGAUAAUGCAAGUGAACUGUGGAAAUUAAAAUUUUGAUCUGGAUUUUGGGGCAAUAGAGACAAUUUUUUUUAAUCCUGCGGACACUGUUACGCAAAGCUUAGCAAACUCUUGAACCAGCAUUGUAUCGCAAACUCUGAUGUAUGGACAUGAAGCAGAUGGAUUGUGGGACAUCUACACUGCAAUAGACAUUUAUCGUGCAUUCAAUAAAAUUAGUGUAAAUUAUAAAAAGAUUGAUUGUCAAGUCAGGUUUGUACUUAGUGACUUAGUGACUUAGUGUUAGUCGGAUUCUUGACAUAUUUAAAUGUUGGCCCAAUUCUGCAAUUACUUAAAAUGCUGAGGAUUCUGUACUAAAUUAAAAUUUGGUCCGAUUUUGAACUUAUAAAGGUUAGUUAACAUUUUGUAUUUACUGUAAAUUGUUGGUCCAAUUCUGGA